CAAAUAAAUCUCUUUUAAAAGAACUUUAGUGAAUAGGUCUCAUUAGCAGUACACACAUGCAUAGUGAGAGUAGUACCAGCAGGAUUCUGAGUCCCCGGACCGAAGCACCUUGAGGGUCUGGGAAACUGUGUUGCCUUGGGACAGUACUGGAGCACGUGGACCAGGGGGCGGGAACAGUCCCCUCUGCGGUUUUCUAUUGGAGAAGACGAAAAGAGAUUGCAUGCCAAUUGGUUGGGAGAGGUAGCGGCUGGGGAGAGGCGAGGCCGCUGCAGGAUCAAGACUCUGCUCUUCUCUGUCGCCAAGGCUGGCAGAAACUGGUGCUCGGCCUCGUCUUCCUGGUCUUUCCAGGUCGGGCUGACGGCGCUGCUGCCCAACCUGCUGGUGUUCAGAAAGGCCUGGGGCCCAGGGCCCGAGCUCACCCACAGUGCAGGGUGUCCUGUUUGGCGUCCAUGUGACUGGGAAUGUGCUCCUGGCACUCUGGACAGUGGAACUGAACCAGCUAAGUGACAUCAUUAUCCUAGUGGUGAAAUGCAGCCUGGAAAUACAGGAGAAGUUUGGAGUCUGCCAUACCAGGGAAGACCAGGAUCUUCAGAUAAUGAUAGGUAGCAACUUCCAUCUGGAAGAGCUAUCCAAAGUACCCAAAUCUUUCCUAUAGAAGAAUAGUGGUGGAGUGGAUUGGGAAAAUAAACAUCAAGGUUUUUUGGACA
rnacentral:lncRNA from 1 species